AAACAAUGGUAUACAUUUAUUAACUAAUCGCCACAGAUGACAUCAUGCAUUGUGAAUGGUAUAUUGGUUAAUGAAUAGAUUUCAUUUAGAGACGCCGAAUACAAAGCGUUAAAUAUUUUUCAUGUAAAUAGCAAUAGAACAUUUUUUUUUAUUUAAUUACUAGCUGACCCGGCAGACAGACAGAGUAGUGCCUCAAUCGAUAACUAAAAGACCUAAACUUUUGUAUAAAAUAAACUUAAAACAAACAAAAGGAAUUCGUCCGACGCCGGGGUAUUUUUAUUUAAUUCCGAGCAUUUUCAUAUUUAUCUACCUUUUAAACCUUCUCUGGACUUCUUCGAUCAACAAUAGUAACUAGAUUUCGGGUCGGCGCAAAAAUCCGUCUCGUUAAAUAACAGCGCACUUGAAAUGUGAGCUCUUAUUUUGUUUAGUUCACUCCAGACACAGCCAAUGUCAACCCGUCUCACAAUGCCGCAGUGUGUAUUCAAAAAUUGCAAAAAAUGCCCGAAAAAGCAAUUUAACGGUCGGAGUAUCUUACUUUCGCUUUCCUAACAAUCACGUGUGCAGAAUGGAUCUCGAUUGUCGCCAGAGAAAGAAGAGAUUACUUUUAUAAGCCAGCUAAGAACUCCACUCAUUGACACUGGGCAUCUUUGCCUUCCGUGUUCAUGGCUACUGAAACGUGGCCGAAGCAUUGUAAUAAAAAUAUCGCGCUUAAAACCGUUUAAACGUUGUUUUAUCAUAUGUACUAGUCGCGAAAACAUAAAAAUAUACUAUAAAAA